GUCUUGGAGUCCCAAAUAGGACGAAACGCGCGUCCUGGAU
rfam:Schistosoma rodhaini strain Burundi genome assembly, scaffold: SROB_scaffold0002605